AUACAUGCAAGUCGAGCGAAUGGAUUAAGAGCUUGCUCUUAUGAAGUUAGCGGCGGACGGGUGAGUAACACGUGGGUAACCUGCCCAUAAGACUGGGAUAACUCCGGGAAACCGGGGCUAAUACCGGAUAACAUUUUGAACCGCAUGGUUCGAAAUUGAAAGGCGGCUUCGGCUGUCACUUAUGGAUGGACCCGCGUCGCAUUAGCUAGUUGGUGAGGUAACGGCUCACCAAGGCAACGAUGCGUAGCCGACCUGAGAGGGUGAUCGGCCACACUGGGACUGAGACACGGCCCAGACUCCUACGGGAGGCAGCAGUAGGGAAUCUUCCGCAAUGGACGAAAGUCUGACGGAGCAACGCCGCGUGAGUGAUGAAGGCUUUCGGGUCGUAAAACUCUGUUGUUAGGGAAGAACAAGUGCUAGUUGAAUAAGCUGGCACCU
rnacentral:rRNA from 1 species